AGUUGAGUGAAAACGAGGAUAGUGAUUUGUAUGAUUUGGCAAUGAGUAUGCGUACCAAGUUUGACAAGGAUUGGGGUAAUUUUGAUAAGAUUAAUCAAAUGAUGAUGUUUGCCGUUGUUCUUGAUCCUCGAUGCAAAGUUGCAUUUUUUGAGUAUUGCUUGCAAAAUACCUUGGGUUAUGAUAAGGCAAUAGUUGGUGAGUUCCGGGAUAAGCUAAAAAGUGAAAUUAUCCGUUUAUUUGGAUGGUAUGAGAAGCAUAAUGGUAGCGUGAAUGUGCGUAACAAAGAGGUUGGGGAAUCAUCGGACACCGUAGAUUUGGAUGGACUUGAAACGAACAUUGGUAAUCAUAAAUCUUUGAAAUCACAAUUUAAAAUGCACAAACAAAAGGAGGGCAACAUGGCAAGCAAAACGGAAUUGGAAAAGUAUCUUGCGGAAACUAGUGAGGAUGAUUAUGACAACUUUGAUGUACUUCGUUGGUGGAAGUUAAACUCUUCAAAGUAUCCAAUUGUCUCUCAAAUGGCAUGAAAUGUGCUAGCAAUUUCCGUGUCCACGGUUGCCUCCGAGUCUGCUUUUAGCACGGGUGGACGUGUCAUUGAUCCUUAUCGAAGUUCUCUCUCUCCGAAGACCGUGGAAGCACUAAUUUGCACACAACAAUGGAUUAGGAAACCAACCAAGAUCAAUAUAAGAGAACAACUUGAUGAAUUGGAGGCAUUAGAUUCGGUUGUCUUGGAAUCAAGUGACAAGGACUAAGGGGUUGGUGCUUGGAUUGAAGAGUUCUAUCAUGGGGCUUUGGAACAACUUUUUGCAAGGGUUGAAGGCUUUAAGUAGCUAUAUGGAAGGGUGACAAUCUCAGCAUUUUGGAAAUUCUCUGGACUGUUUUUUUCUUGUCCUGAACUGUUUAUCUGGGCAUUUGGAAUUUUGGAUGACUGUAUUAUCUGUUUUACUAAGGGGGGGGGGGGGCAAUUGGUAUUAACUGUUUUAUUGAGGACUAUUUUAGGUUUAACUGGUACUAAGUUGUUGCUUCUGGUUGAAGGCUUUAAGCUACUGUAUGGACUGUUUGGGAACUCUUUGAACUUUGUUUUUUCUUUUCUUUCCUGAUCUGUUAGUAGGUGGACUAUUUGAUUUGGAAAAUUUUCAUUCUCAUGUAUGUGAAUAGGUAAAAUGUUAGUAUGUGGUUUUGUGAAUAUGUGGUUCAGUUAGUAGGUGGCUCUGUUUUUUUUUUUUUUUUUCCUUUACAAAUUUGUAAAACGUUGGAGGGUUUCUUUUUUCCACUAUAAAUUUUCUCUUAUGUAAACUGUUUGAUUUGGAAAAAAUUGCCCAUAUAAAAAAGGCCCAAAACUAGGUGAAAAAAAUGCCC